ensembl:lncRNA
CAUGGUUGGGUAAUGUAAGAGGUGCAUUGAAGUGGGCUGGGUGAUGUGAGAGGUGCAUGGAUAUGGACAUAGGCUUGGUGAUGUGAGUGGUGCAUGGACAAUGACAUGGGUUGGGUGAUGUGAGAGGUGAAUGGACAUGGUUGGGUAAUGUAAGAGGUGCAUUGAAGUGGGCUGGGUGAUGUGAGAGGUGCAUGGAUAUGGACAUAGGCUUGGUGAUGUGAGAGGUGCAUGGACAAUGACAUGGGUUGGGUGAUGUGAGAG